CUCAGGGGUGGGGUCCCUCAGCCUGGAUUGCGAGAGGGGGCAGGCCAGGCCGAGGGACCCCACUGGUGCACG
rnacentral:pre_miRNA from 1 species